AGAAGGAAGAAAAUGGGAACAAAGGUGCUGCUGAUCAUCUGAGGUUGCCUGCAUGGCAGUGAAGAACAUGGACCUUUGGGUCUCACAUGAGUACUUCACAAUGGGGAAACUGAACUGGAACUCUACUGACAACGCAGUUGGGAGUUCAAACUUAAUAACCUUCCAGAGUUGGUAUCAAAUUCAGACGCUGACGCUCCUUGGAGAGGUUCUUUGCUGCAAGAGGAUGGAAAGGAUCACUGUGAUUUUGUUUUUCUCCUGCUGCUCUGUCUGGAAGCCAUGUGAGGAGGACAUCUGAGCAGCCCUGUGGAGAGGCCCCCAGCCAACAGCCAGCAUGAACUUGCUGGGCAUGUGAGUGCACCACCUUGAAAGUAGAGCCUCAACCCCUGGUCAAGCCAUCAGGGAGAGCUCAAGCUGGCCUGUUGGAAGAUGACAGGCCAUAUGCAACAGACGUGAAGUGUCCCAGCUGAUCCCCUUCCAGAACACCCACCUUCCAGAUGACCACAGAUGCAAGGGUGAGCCAGCCAAUAGCUGCUGAGACAUUCCCAGAAAGACAGAACAUCCAGCUGACCCAUGGACUCAUGGGCGAUCAUGGAUAAAUGGAUAUUGUUUCAAGCUACUAGGUUUGGGGUUGGUUUGUUACGCAGCAAUAGCUAACAGCUACACCUCUAUUUUAAGGAGUUGUGAAGAUAAA
rnacentral:lncRNA from 1 species